GCAGAAUAUUUUUGGGUGGUUCUGGAGAUGGAAAUGAGUGGAUAUAUGUGGAUGGUACUUCCAGAGUAGAAGCAGCAUAUGUGAGUGAACGUGCAAGUGAAUCUUGAUUUAACCACAUGACAAGCUCCUAAGGGUCUACACAGCUUGACCACACUCAAUGCUCAUAAGUAGUAAAAGUAAAUGUGUGGCUCAACGUCUAGCA
rnacentral:lncRNA from 1 species